GACUUCCCACCUGGCUGUCCUUCAGUCUCAGCCUCUCUCUGGGAUGACCGUCUUCUGCUGAACACUACAGCAUGUUUAGCUGGGUGAUAAAGGUUGUUCCCCAGCCUCCAGCAUCUCCUGGGAAGCUGGCAGAGGAGGACCAGACCAAUGCUUCCACUGCAGCACCUGCGACUCAUGUGACGAAAAAAGAGGAAAUAAAACAAGAACCUUCCAAGCCAACGGAAGAGGUCUCAGAGGAAAACAGGUGAUGUUAUGUUUGUG